rnacentral:rRNA from 1 species
GAUGAACGCUGGCGGCGUGCCUAAUACAUGCAAGUCGAGCGAACGGACGAGAAGCUUGCUUCUUUGAUGUUAGCGGCGGACGGGUGAGUAACACGUGGAUAAUCUACCUAUAAGACUGGGAUAACUUCGGGAAACCGGAGCUAAUACCGGAUGAUAUUUUGAACCGCAUGGUUCAAAGGUGAAAUACGGUCUUGCUGUCACUUAUAGAUGGAUCCGCGCUGCAUUAGCUAGUUGGUAAGGUAACGGCUUACCAAGGCAACGAUGCAUAGCCGACCUGAGAGGGUGAUAGGCCACACUAGAGCUGAGACACGGUCCAGACUCCUACGGGAGGGAGCAGAAGGGAAUCUUAGGCAAUGGGCGAAAGCCUGGCGGAACACUACCACGUGAGUGAUCAAGGUCUUAGGAUCGUAAAGCUCUGUUAUUAGGGAAAAACAGAUGUGUAAGGAUCUGUAGACAUCUUGACGGUACCUACUCAGAAAGCCCCGGCUAACUACGUG